rnacentral:rRNA from 1 species
CCUACGGGAGGCAGCAGUGGGGGAUAUUGCACAAUGGGGGGAACCCUGAUGCAGCGACGCCGCGUUGGUGAAGUAGCGCCUCGGCGCGUAAAGCCCUGUCAGCAGGGAAGAAAAUGACGGUACCUGACGAAGAAGCCCCGGCUAACUACGUGCCAGCAGCCGCGGUAAUACGUAGGGGGCAAGCGUGAUCCGGAUUUACUGGGUGUAAAGGGGGCGCAGACGGCGAUGCAAGCCAGGAGUGAAAGCCCGGGGCCCAACCCCGGGACUGCUCUUGGAACUGCGUGGCUGGAGUGCAGGAGGGGCAGGCGGAAUUCCUGGUGUAGCGGUGAAAUGCGUAGAUAUCAGGAGGAACACCGGUGGCGAAGGCGGCCUGCUGGACUGCAACUGACGUUGAGGCCCGAAAGCGUGGUGAGCAAACAGGAUUAGAUACCCGUGUAGUC